GAUGAACGCUGGCGGCGUGCUUAACACAUGCAAGUCGAACGAUGAAGCUCAGCUUGCUGGGUGGAUUAGUGGCGAGCGGGUGAGUAACACGUGAGUAACCUGCCCUUAACUCUGGGAUAAGCCUGGGAAACUAGGUCUAAUACCGGAUAGGAGCGCCUACCGCAUGGUGGGUGUUGGAAAGAUUUAUCGGUUUUGGAUGGACUCGCGGCCUAUCAGCUUGUUGGUGAGGUAAUGGCUCACCAAGGCGACGACGGGUAGCCGGCCUGAGAGGGUGACCGGCCACACUGGGACUGAGACACGGCCCAGACUCCUACGGGAGGCAGCAGUGGGGAAUAUUGCACAAUGGGCGAAAGCCUGAUGCAGCGACGCCGCGUGAGGGAUGACGGCCUUCGGGUUGUAAACCUCUUUCAGUAGGGAAGAAGCGAAAGUGACGGUACCUGCAGAAGAAGCACCGGCUAACUACGUG
rnacentral:rRNA from 1 species